rnacentral:lncRNA from 1 species
GGAAAUAGAGACCACUUGUCUUCUAAAAAAUACCGUUGGCCUUCGCUGGUUUCCUCACUCAAAACCACCACCAAGAAGCCUUUAGCCUCUGGUUUUUCUCCUACAAUUUUGGUACACUCACCUAUAUAACCAAACCCCUUUACUCCCAUUUCCUUCAUCAAAUCAUUGCUCCUGAUAUCUUAAUCUCUUCAAAUCCCACUUCAAAGAGUUUCCAACUCGUUGGUUCUAUAUUACAGUAACAUGAAAAAUGAGUUCAGCGAGUAAAGCUUGGUUGGUUGCAGCAGCUGUUGGAGGUGUCGAGGCCUUGAAAGACCAAGGGUUCUGUAGGUGGAGCUACACCUUGAGAUCCCUUCACCAACAUGCCAAGAACCAUGUCAGAUCAGCCUCUCAGGCCAAGAAGCUUUCUUCUUCAUCCUCUGCCAUGAUCUCGAAUAAAAUCAAGGAAGUGACAGCAAAACAGUCGGAGGAAUCUCUAAGAAAAGUCAUGUAUUUGAGCUGUUGGGGUCCUUCCUAAAGCUAAGAAGCAAGAUGGAAUUGAGAAAAUUAUCGUGAUAGGAUUACCCUGAUCGUUGCAAGUUGAUGUAAAUAUUUGUAAAUUUUGGUACUGACUUAAUGGAAUCAAACUAUAUUAUUUCUUGAUUAAUUUUUCCUUGCACCAUUUAUUUUUUUCUGUUUUCCCACUUCUUUUGGAAAGGAUCAUGAAAAGGUUCAAUUUUAGUGCAUCACAGCAUUUGCUAAGGAUAUUUGAAUCAAUUGCAAUCUCAAGAUAGAAUCUAAAUUCUAAUUUGGUUAAGAAAAUCUAUUAAAACAAAAUCCAGGUCUAACUUUGACUGGUUUUUUAAUGACAUAUAUAUUAUCUGUUAAAUGAAGAUCAAUAGGGCUUAUUUAUUUAAAUGUCAGAACUUUUGAACUUUCAAGAAAAUUGGAAUGUGGCAAAAUGGUUGAACCUGACAAAAAAAAAAAGUAUUUUCUUGAAUAUCUGAAAAAUGAAUUAGCUCGUAAGAAAUAAUUAUUUUGAAGUGAAUAGUGUUUCGUAACAUUAGAGAAUCCACUUGCUCACUGCUCAGGUCGUUUAUGCGUCAAAAUUUUGCUGGAUGCCAAGUCUUUAGAACGCUCGAUUAAGGAGAGCUUGAGAGUUCAGAACUUUGUAUUUUGUGACGCAUGCAAUGGAUCUACAAGACUACAAGUAUUGUCUGUCCUUUACUCAAGCCCCACUGCUGAAGAAAAACAAGUGGAUUUGCCUCCUAUACUUGAGGCUCACUUCGGAUUUUUAUAAAGCAAACCGUGUGCUCUUUACCAAAACAUGGCCCCGCUCUAGCAACAUGAUAAGAUGCAUGAAAAAGAAAUGUAUUUAUAAUUCCACCAAGUGGUCCUUGAUAGACAUAAAGAUUCAGUCCCAUCAUAGCAUAACCACGAUAAAAUAAUACCACUGGCUCCCUUAAACCAAAACCAGCAACCACAGCUUGCUCCUUGCUUCCGGUUUCCUCCCAAUUUCUGGCAAUUAGUUCCCAACUCUCUUUAUAAGCAAAUCCCAGUUUGCCAUUUACACCAUCGACACGGAUUCUGAAUCACAUCUCAUCGUUUUCAACUAAAAAUCCCACAUCAAAGAGUUUCCAACUAUUGUUCUAUUUUAUAUUACAGAGAAAAUGAGUUCAGCAAGUAAAGCUUGGUUGGUAGCUGCUGCUAUUGGAGGUGUUGAGGCCUUAAAAGACCAAGGCUUCUGUAGGUGGAACUACACAUUGAGAUCGCUACGCCAGCAUGCCAAGAACCAUGUCGGGUCAAUUUCUCAGGCUAAUAAGAAGCUCCCUUGUUCAUCUUCUGCCAUUAUUUCAAAUAAAUUCAAGGAAGAGAAGGCGAAACAGUCAGAGGAGUCUCUAAGAAAAGUCAUGUAUUUGAGUUGCUGGGGUCAAAACUGAUACUCUCAAGAAAGAAGAAAUUCUGAGGAAAUCAGUUCAUAGGAUUAGAGUAAAUUUUUGCAAGUUGAUUUAAACUGUAAAUGCUUGUGCUGAUUGCCAAUCAAAUAUAUCUCAUUUUAUUGGCAAAAUUUUGGGAAAAUGGCCUUAAAGUAACAUUAACAAAGGAUAUGGCUCAUGUUAAAAAAAAAACCAGCAACUCAAUUGGAGGAGGAGUUGAUAAAUUAGGACAAAUCUUAAACUGGAAUUCUCAAUUUCAAUUUGGCCCAGAAGAAAAUUAGUUUAGGAAUAUUUCUUUACUCACAAGUGUUCACGGCAGGGUGAUGAUCACUGUAUGUGAAAUUAAACAGGCCUUUAAAUUACAAAAGAAUUGUAUAAAUAAUUAACCCGAAGAAUUUGUGAAUAAUUAUCUGAUGAAUUUAUGAAAAACUUUCACACAGAAAUUGGGUUUUUAAAGACAACAAUUAUAGAUGAGAGAUGUAUGGGGGUCUAAAUAUGGGAUUAGCCUUAAAAAAUAUCGAUCUUGGGACGUGAAGAAUUUCAAACCAAUUGAUUUGGUGAAAACUUUGGUGUUAUCAUUGAUGUUAGCAAAACGUUAUCUAGAAAAAGCUAUUGGUAUAGAAAAUAUAUACUUGAUUUUCAUAGACGUGUGAUUAUUGGCUUGAUGUUUGGAUCACGACCCCAACAAUAACAAGAAGGCGAAGGUUUAUUGCCAUUUGGGCCAACAAAAACAAUUUUGUUCUGGUAAAAAUGUAUGCCAUCAUUUUCCUCUCAUGUUUUUUAAACAAAUAUGCUCGAAAGACAUGAAAAGAAAAGAAAAAAAUUAGAAAAAGAAAACUUGUUUUGUAUAGAGUUUACAAGUGUAGAUAGUUUUUGUUAAAAGUUUUUGCAAGAAAGAACAAAGUUUAAUUAUCUUGCUUAGAGGUAGUUUAGUAAAAAAAAAGAGUGGAAAAGUAAGCAAUAUGAUAUCUGAAUGAGUGUACAAGUUCAAGACGCCUUACAUGAGAAGUCCAAGUUUAAUUAUCAUGUUUUGGAGACAGGUAGUCAAAAAGACUUGAAGAAAGAUUUGUGAUUUUUUUUAUAGAUUUGUGAUUUUUUUUAUAGACAAGUGGUUAUAGAAUAAUGAAAAAGGAUAUCUUAUACUUUAAAAAAUAUAUGAUCAUGGUGUUUUGGAGACAUUUAUGAAGAUUCAAUUAAGACAUGAAGAUUCUAGUGUGAAAAAUUAAAGAAGCUAGAGUUUAUUUUCAAUAUAAGUUAUAUAUUUAUUACACUGAAUAGGCUAAUUUGUUUUUUUUGUUUAUUGUAAUUUCAUGCUUGCAAGAGUUAUUUUUCAAUGUUAUUGUGUAAUAUAUAUAUAUAUAUAUAUUCAAUUACUAUCUUUGUCUAUUUUUUUAUUGUCUAUUUAAAAUAAAACUAACUUAUUAAAUUUAAAUGAGGCUAUAACCUGAGUUAUUUGUUUUUUUUAUUUCUUUUAAAUGUGCUUGUGACACCUAGAUUAUAGUUGUCUUUUUUUUAUUUUUUUAUUUUAUUUUUUAUUUUAAUUGAUACCUUUUUUAAAAAAUAUAUAUAUUUUUUAAUUUAUAUUUGCAUUAAUAUCUCUUCUCAAUUAUUUUUUAUUUUUAAUUGAUUUUUCCUUCAAUUUCAUCCAUAUCCUUUGGUUUAAUUUGAUUUUCAAAUCAAACUUAUUCCUUAUUCUUUUGAUAUUUUUAAACUUUUUUAUAAAUUGAUUUUUUUUCAAUUACAUUCCUUGGCAUUUAAUUUCAAUUGAUUUUUCUAUUAAAUUUGGUUCCCGUUAUUUGUUUUUCUUCUUGUCUUCUAUGGGGUUAGUCUCAUCCUCAUUACAAGGGUCACGAGUUUCGAAGGUUAACAUUGGUUAACUUCAAUUUUUUUAGGUUCUUUUAUCAAAUUGAUUUAUUUUUAAUUUUAUCCUUUAAUAUUUGAUUUUUUUAAUUAAUUUUUUUUAUCUUUCUUUAUAUGGGGUUAUCUCAAUUCUAUGCCCAUAGUCUUAGAGUUAGUGCCUUAAUCCAAGUUAAAUCAUAUAUACAUAUAAUUUUCUUAGUUCCAUUGCUAAGGAUCUUUUUGUUGAGAAUUUUGCUUCAUUGUUUUUUUUUGUUUGCCUUCCAUGCAGUCGGUCUUAGUCUCAUAACCACGGUUAUGGAUUUUAAAAGUUAACAUUUGUUAAUUUUGAUUUGUUUAGGUUUUUUUUAAAAUUGAUUUUUUUUUAAUUUUAUCAUUCAACAUUUAAAUUUUUGGGAUUGAUCUUCAUACUUUUUUUUUUCACUUUUCAUUUCAUGGAGCUAUCUCAAUCUAAUGCCCAAAAUUGUGAAGUUAGUGAGUUAAUCUAGAUUGACCAAAAUCUUUUUUUAUUGAUUUUUUUAAAAUAUUUAUUUUUAGUUGUCACUCAAUAUUAGAUUGUUUGAGUUUCAUAUUUUUUUCAAUUUGUUUUUGUUAACAAUUCUUUGUAUUGUUUAUUGGCACGAAUAAUCUUUUAAUUAAACAAAAAGUUUAUUCUAUAAAACAAAGUUAUUGAACAUAAGUAAGUAGAUAACAUGGGUUGCAUGAUCAAAUAUUUUAAUCUUAAUAAGUCAUUGAUUAAAUAUUAAUUUAUUUAAUUAAAUAUAUGUAUAAAUAUUUUAAUAUAUGAUUGAGAAUUUUUUAUAUAAAAAACAUGAAGAAAAACUUAUUUAUUCUUUAUUUUUUUAUUAAAAAAUUAAGAUAUAUAAUCCUCUACGAAGCGCUGUUGAAAUAGUUUAUUGUAGUUUUCUAGACCAUCACAAUUGUUUACAGACAGUCCUCACUAUUACUUCAAUUGUCUUCAAAAACAGUCUUGCCCAAAACAAAACAUUGAUUGAUAAGUGACAAACCCCAUUUGUUUAAUGCGUGUGACUCAGAGCAGAGACAAGUUUGAUAUUAGAAUAAAUGGAUUUAAAUAAUAUUUUAUUAUUUUUUAAAAAAAUAUUUUUAACUUUUUCAUAUUAAAAUGAUUUAAAAAUAAUAAUAAAAAAUAUAUUUUUUUUUAAAGCAAAAACAAACUAGGUAUAAUAAAAAAACUUAAUUUAUCUCCAUUUUUUUAAUGACCAAGUUGUAUUCCAAUAAUUGAAGGGGAAAUAGAGACCACUUGUCUUGUAAAAAAUACCGUUGGCCUUUGCUGGUUUCCUCACUCAAAACCACGACGAAGAAGCCUUGAGCCUCUUGUUUUUCUCCCACACUUUUGGUACACUCACCUAUAUAACCAAACCCCUUUACUCCCAUUUACUUCAUCAAAUCAUAGCUCCUGAUAUCUUAAUCUCUCCAAAUCCCACUUCAAAGAGUUUCCAACUUGUUGGUUCUAUAUCACAGUAACAGAGAAAAUGAGUUCAGCAAGCAAAGCUUGGUUGGUUGCAGCAGCUGUUGGAGGUGUUGAGGCGUUGAAAGACCAAGGGUUCUGUAGGUGGAACUACACCUUGAGAUCCCUGCACCAACAUGCCAAGAACCAUGUCAGAUCAGCCUCUCAGGCCAAGAAGCUUUCUUCUUCAUCCUCUGCCAUGAUCUCGAAUAAAGUCAAGGAAGUGAGAGCAAAACAGUCUGAGGAAUCUCUAAGAAAAGUCAUGUAUUUGAGCUGUUGGGGCCCUUACUAAGCAAAGAAGCCACAUGAAAUUGAGGAAAUUAUCGUGAUAGGAUUAGCCUGAUUGUUGCCAGUUGAUGUAAAUUGAUUUUUAAAUAUUGUUGCUGACUUCAUGGAAUCAAACCAUAUUAUUUUUGGAUUAGUUUUUCCUUGCACCAUUUAUUUUAUAGUUUCUGUUUUCCCAUUUCUUUUCUCAGGCCCUCAUGUCGCAAAGUGAAAAGGAUCAUGACAAGGUUAAUUUUAGUGCACCACAGCUUAAAAAAAAAUUGAGGGGCAUUUGUAUUCAAAGAUAUUUGCAUCAAUCGGAAUCUCACUACAAUCUAAAUUAUAAUUUGGUAAAAAUAAAAAUUCAAUUCAAGAAAAAUUAGAUUCGAUUUAGAACUUAUACUGGUUUUUCAAAGACAUAAAUGGAUUAAGAAAUAAUUAUUGGACUUAUCCCCUUUUUGGAGCCGAAAGGAAGUUCAUUAGUCUUUUGGUUUUUUGCAUAAAUGAAGAUGAAUAGGGAUUAUUUUCUUCAAUGUCAAAACUUGUGAAAUUUCAAGAAACUUGGGAAUGCUGCAAAAUGGUUGAACUGGCACAAAAAAAUUAGUAUUUUCUUGAAUCUCUGACAGAUGAAUUAGAUCGCAAGAAAUACUUUUUUUUGAAGUGAAUAAUGUUUCGUAACGUAAGAGAAUCAUUUCUCUACUACUCGUAAAAACAUAAAUUAUUUGGAUUCUUUUUUUUAAGGUUUAGCUAUAUCUAUUGGUGUAAAUAUUAUAAUAACUUUUUUUAUGUAAAAUUAGCAGUUUGUUUUAUAAAACAUUUAGCAAAAUAAUAUCAUUUAAAAAAGAUUUGAUUAAAUAACAUGUUUUUAUCAUAUCAUGCCAAAUAUGAUAUUUAUUAAAUGUUGUUAUUUGUAGAAGUAACAAAUUGAAACUCCAAUCAUCUAGCUCAACAGGUUAAUUAAUUGAAUUAAGUUAUAGUAGUUAUAUAAACUGAUCGAUGUUUUCAUAUAAAAAUGAUAAUUUAAUGAAUUUUAUUAAAAUAUUUUUUAUGAAUCAAAAUAUAUAUCUUUUUUCAACUUAUAUACAAAAAAAUAGAUUUUAAUUAAAAUCUUAAAAUAUUAUUAUUCACAUAGUGAUUGUCCUUUGUUUUUCAUUGUCAAUGAUGUAGCUAUAUUUGCAAUAACUGGUAAUUCUAAAUAAUCAGAUGCAACUCUGCUGUAACUAAAUGAGAUUUGGCCCAAACAUAUUAUUUGGAUAGCUUUGCAUUUGUGAACUAAUAGGACAUGUAUAAACUUAGAAAGAAGGUCUAAUUAUACCAUAACAAAAUAAUGCUUAAAAGAACCAUAACUUUUGAUUAGACACUUAAAUUCUUUACAUGAGUUUUCAGAGGAAGUUUUUUCUAUUGUAGCUACUGUAUCGCUAUAUGAACCGUUAGAUUUUUAAAUAUAAAAAAUCUAGUUGAGUCACUUUGAUUUUAAUAACUUUGAGAUUUUUUUUGUUAUUUUUCGAAUCGAUCAACUGGUUUCACUGACCAUUAUGAAUCGGUUGAGCCAGAUAAUUGAAAUUUCACCUUGUCAUGUUUUAAAAGUGUGAUAUUUAUUAAAUGUCGCUAUUAUUUUAAUUUUUUUAAAAAUAAUAAUAUUUAAUAAAUAUUAUAUUUUUAAAGCACAAUAAAAUCAAAAUAUGCCAUUUCAUAAAAAAAAAAAUCUUCUCUGUUAAUUUGCCAAUUGUUUUGAUUUUAUUCACUAAUUUCCUAAUUUAUCCCUUUUUUUCCGUAACACAGCUAGCUAUAAUGUGCGGGUUCUUCAUUUAUUUAUUUUUCUCAACUGUGAUACAUAACAAUUAAUUUUUUUUCCACGUUUGUUAUUUUGGAAAAAAAAAAAUCGUAUCUUGUGACACAUGCAAUGGAUCUACAAUUAUUAUUGUCUUCAGGAGGUAAUCCUGUCCGUUCCCUGUUUUUGAGUAGAUGCCUAGACAAAUGCUAAAAUGCUAUCCUUCCAGCCCCACUACUAAAGAAAAACAAGUGGAUUUGCCUCCAAUACUUGAGGCUCAAUUUUGAUUUUUAUAAAGCAAACCGUGUGCCUCUUACCAAAAACAAGUCCCCACUCCAGCUUUGUCGUAAUUGAAUAUGAUAAGAUGCAUGAAAAAGAAAUCCCCCAUUUUUUCUCCAUUUGUAUUUAAUGCCACCAAGUGGUCCUUGAUGGACAUAAAGAUUCAGUCCCAUCCUAGCCUAACUGCACUAAAAUAAUACCACUGGCUUUAACUUGUGCCAAAACCACCAGCCACAGCUUAUCCCUGGCUUCCGGUUUCCUCCAAUUUUCGGGUCCUCUAGUCCCCUCCUCUCUAUAUAAGCAAUCCCCAGCUUGUCAUCUCCACCAUCAAACACCAUUUCCCUUCUCAAUUACAUCUCAACUUUUUCAAAACGUUGUCCAUCUUCUAGCUCUUCAGUUCAAUCGAAAGAAAUAGAAAAAUGAGUUCAACAAGCAAAGCUUGGGCUGUUGCCACUAGUAUUGCAGCUGUGGAGGCUUUGAAAGAUCAAGGAUUUUGCAGAUGGAACUACACAAUAAGAUCACUAUACCAACAUGCCAAGAACCAAGGCAAGUCAUCCUCUCUGCCCAAGAAGCUCUCUUCUCCAGCUUCUACUGUGGUUGCCGGUAAAGUAAGAGAGAAUCAGAAAGCAAGGCAAUCCGACGAGUCACUGAGGCAGGUCAUGUACUUGAGUUGCUGGGGUCCUUACUAGCCAGGCAGUGAACUACCAGCAAGGAACUAUGGCCAUGCAUGCACUGGUUGCAGCAUAGAGACAAUCGAAGUCUUUCCAAGAGAGACUUAUUUGGAGAAACAUGACAAGGCCGACUUCUUAUGACGAUGGACGCUGGAACCCAUCAACGAUUAGUCAGCUUCAUUUGAAUGUUAUGCUCUAGCAAUAUAUGUUUCAAUCAAUUGUAGCCCAAUGAAUUGCUGAAUGAUGGGAGCAAAUUCUUUCCAUUGCUGCAACAACUUGCAAGUGAUGUAAAUUGUAAUUUUUCAGAAUGUAACGGCAUUUAAAUUAAGACUCAAUUGAAUCAGUAAGCUAAUUACAUGAGUGGAUUAAAGUCUUGUUCUCUGCUUUUAGCCCAUAGGGAAUAAUUACUACAACGUCAAAACCUGUGUGCCUUCAUGAAACUUGGACUGUGGCAGAGUGGAUGAACCUCACACGACACUUUCUACUAUAAGUUUAUAUAUUGGGAUUAGGCUGCAGUCAAGUCUUGAGUAACAAAAAUUAAACCGGGUGGGGUUUUUUAUUGUGGCAGUGUGCGACAUCGCGGCGAAAAAUAUAAGUGUUUUUCAUUUUAAAUCGACAAUGUAAAUCUAUAUCUAUUUUAAAUCUACAAUGUAAAUCUAUAUCUAUUUGGCAAAUGGAGAGACAAGAAAUUCUUGUUUUUUGUUGGUGGAAAAUGGAAUGGGAGUCGUCACCUAGUAUUUUGGUCACUAGAAAUUUUAACUGGUCUCAGAGAUCGGGCACGGGGACUGGUUGCGUAAAGAGAAGGUAUUAGCACCCCAAAUACGCCUUACCUAAGAUAAGCUGCAUUAUUUUAUUGUCUGAUAAAAUCUAAGGUCUUUUCGUGUUUUCCUAGUUGUUGGUAUAGUUCAAGAAAAGUCCUCCUCGGUAAGGAGAUCCUUAUCUUAAUGGGUAAUUCUGACGUUAACAAAAGAAUUUAAUAUUCAGAAUAUGUCUUACGUAUAAGAUCGUAACCCCAAAUACUAAGUCCUCCUCGGUAAGGAGAUCCUUAUCUUAAUGGGUAAUUCUGACGUUAACAAAAGAAUUUAAUAUUUGGAAUACGUCUUACGUAUAAGAUCGUAACCCCAAAUACUAAAAGAAAACACAAUAAUUUUUUUGGAAGUUUUGAAAUAUUGGUCUAGUUCUCAUGGCUUGAAUAAACUGGUUAUUAAAGCCAACAUGCAUGUUAAUACAUAUAUUGUUUUGAAGUUUCCUUUGUUGCGUGAAAAUACGAUGUUAUAAUAUUUAUAUAUAUAUAUUGGAGAGACUAGGCCGUAUGCAUUAAAACAAAAACAUUUUUUUUAUAUAUAUAUUUUUGAUGUUUUGACGAAAACCGGGUAUUUUAAUACUUGAUUUGUAUCUUUACGGUAUAAAAAUACAAACCAAUAUUAAACCAUUUUGACAAAAAAAUAUGCAGGAAAAUCAUAGGAUUUUUUAUAAUAUAUUUUUUUGAAAGCAAAACAUUUUUUAUUUUAAAAUUUUUUGAUGUUUUGACGGAAACCGAGUAUUUUAAUACUAGAUUUGUAUCUUUACAGUAUAAAAAUACAAACCAAUAUUAAACCAUUUUGACAAAAAUAUGCAGGAAAAUAAACAAUAUUUUUUUCAAAUAUUUUUUAGAAUAUUUCUUUUUAUUUUAUACACACACAUAAUAUAAAACAAUAUAAUAUAUAAUAUAAUAUAUAAUAUAAUAUAUAAUAUAAUAUAUUAUGUGGGCUGGGCCGACCCAAAUAAAUGGGCCAGGCUCAGCCCAGCAUGGAUUGGGCCAAUCUCGGCCCAUUCAAUCUCUCAUUUUUGUCUGGGCCAGACUGGCCCAGAAUCAAUCUGGCCCAGCGCAAGAAACCCAUCGAGAGGGGAAUUAUUUUUCCCCUCCUAUCAAUUCUACAUGCAGGAGGAAAACGCCACGAGAAAAAAAUGCAGGGAGAAGACUUUACCUGGCGUGGAGGAGGUGGUCGUUGGUGGUGCUGCGAUGGAGGCCGGUGGCGGUGUCGUGGCUCACGGACGGCGGCUCCAAGCGGCGGUGCUGCUGUUUCAAACGGCGGAGGGUGAGGAUACUGCUCUUCCUUUCUCCUCCGUAUGGCUUCCUCUUCUUUCGUUUUUGGUGGUUUCCUCAGUUCGGGUUUGCUAGUUGUUCUUUUUGGUUCGGUUCUUUCCCUCCUUUUCCUAUGUUUUCUCUUUUUUUUUCUUUCGGUUUGUUCCUUCUCUUCCCUCUCUACUGAUCGUUCUCUCUCUUCGGGUUUUCUCCUUUCUUUCCCCUCUCUCUAUUCGAGCCUCUCUUUUCGUUUUCUUUUUUUUCCUCUUUUUUCCUCCCCCUCGCGUGCUGGCGUCCAGUCUUCAUUUAUAUGGGGCAAGGGAGCGGGGGCGUCGCUAUUGCCACCCUAUGGCAGCGCACGGGGAGCAGGGCUUUGCUGCCCUGCCACAGCGCCGGGCUGGCUGGCCAGUGGGCGUGGCUGGUAGGGCGCGGCUCCCUCGACUUUUCAUCAUGAGAGCGCAUGGGGGGGCGGUUUUGGCAGAUGUGGCAUGUCGGGUUCAACGACGAAAGAAGAAAAAAUUGCCUUCCCCUGCUGCACGUCCAGGGGAAGAGAUAGGGAACAGUGUCGUUCAAAACGACACUAUUCUGUUUUUUUUUUUUUUAACAUGAAACGGCGCCAUUUUAGACAAAACGCGCCGUUUCAUUUAAAUCAAAAAGGGGCGCCGAAAGGCGUCAUUGUCCAAGUCAGUCCUUAAUUAUAUUUUGUUCAUUUCAAUUGCAUCCCUUCCAAUUUCGGUCGCCACCCCUAUAUUUGUCCGCGUUUUUCACUUCAAUCCUUGGCCUCUGAUUUAUGCAAUUUGACCCUCAAUUAAUCAAUAAACUUCCAAUUUCUUCAAUUUAGCCCAUGAUUUUGUUAAUUACAACCCCUAUAUUUACACGCCUUUUCCAAUUUGGUCCUUGGUUUCGGAUAUUCUCAAUUCAGUCCCUAAUUGGCCAUUAAAGUUCAAUAUUUAUGCAAUUAAGCCCUUGAUUUGACCAAAUCAAUUCCUAAAAAUUAUAAUUUGACCCCAGAACUUUAAUUUCUUCCAAUUAAAGCCCAAAUUGACAUAAAAAUCAAUUUUUCUUGCAAUCAAAACCUCUAUAAAUUCAAUUAAACUUGCAAUAAAAUCCAAUUAAGUCCAUAAACAUCCAAUUUUGAACUUUUCUCUUCAAAUUGAAUUUUUUUCUUUUCCAACUGGGCUUUCAUCAUUCAAGGAUACACUGUCAAAAUUUCAAUCUUUGUAUUUUUAACCUCCUAUUAUUUUUUUAUUUUUUUAAUUUCUUCCGGCUAUAUAUAUAUAUAUAUAUUUAUUAUUAUUAUUAUUUAUUACUUUUAUUAUUUAUUUUGAUUUUUAUUAUUUUUGUUAUUAUUAUAUUUUUUAUUUAUUUUUAUUUUUAUUUUUAUUUUUGUGUGGGGACCCAAAAAUGGGUUACAACAUCGAUGUUGAAGAUGCACUAUUUACUUUUUCAAAGAGAUGAUUGGAUUAAAAGAAAAAAAAAGAAGAAGGUAAAAUGUAAGGUGAUUUUGAAUUUUAUAUAAAAAGUUUAUCGUGGUUUUUUAUAUAUUUAUUUUUAUAGAUGAUUGGUCCGAAAUUAAAUUUAGAUAUCAAUUUUUUUUUUAGUUUUUUUUUAAGAGGAAAGGACUAUUGGAUUAGUAGAGAGAGAAAAAAUAAUUAUUAACGAUUAUUCUAGCCAUAAAAAAUAAUUAAAAUUGGUGUUAAUAGAUUAUAUUUUUUACAACGAUAUUUAGUUGACGGAUUCGGCGAAAAAACAAACUAUGCGUAGUUUGUUGUCUUCAUUCUCGAGGGUUGGGUUGGAAGGCUUACGUGUUUGUAUUGCUUUUAUUUUUUUUUAUUUUUUGAUAUUUUAUAUUUUAAUUAAAAAAUUAAUAAAAAAUUUAUUAAAUUCAAUCAAAUUCAUGAGGAGUUUCUGCUUCUCAAAAAAAAAAAAAAAAUCAUCUCUUAUUAAUGAUGAUCUAUUUUUUUAACUCCAACUUAAAAUAGUGCAAUUUUAAUUUUACUAUUAUUAUCAAUAAUAUACUUUUGCUAUAUUAGCACCACGUCCCUAUCAUGAUUUUUUUACUUAACAAAAAAUAUUUCAUACAAAAAAAUUAUCAUGUGCUUUAUUGUUUUUAUUGUUAUGUAAUUAAAUGAAAAAUAAUUUUUGGAAUCAAAAAAUUAUUGAAUUUGAUGACUAACAUGAUUUGCUUUGUGAGUUUGACUGGCCGAGUCGAGUUGAUUUAAGUUUUUAAAUUAAAUACUAUUUUUUUAACCGAUUUUGUUCUUCAACAUUGAGUUAAUUUAAGAUUAAGCUUUUAAUUUGUUUUUUUAUUUUAUUUUUCAGAUUAUCCCUACAACUUUUAUAUCACAUCCAUGUUAAUUUAGGUAAAUCAAAUAUUUUUUUUUAUCUUAAUAUUAAAUAAAAAUAUCGUUCAAUUCAUAAUUAAAAUCUAGUUUUUUAGAAGACACAUCACUAAUAUUUAAAUAAUUUUUUUGUUUUUAAUUUAAAAUCUGCUCCAAACCCACGGCAUAGGGCGGUAGUUCAAAGCUCCGUAAAAGGAAUUCACAAGUUAGAGCAAAUAUUUGGAGUAAUUAUUCAUAAUCUUUCGUAAAAUAGGUAAACCAAUUUAUUUUCUGAUCACAGUCCAUGUCGUUUCCAUAUCAACAUUAUGCAUCACGAGUCAUUUUUGCUUUUUUUGAACCCCUUGCAACUAAAGUUAUUAAAUUGGAUAUGCUAAUAACUUAUUUUAAGAUUUGGACUAAACAAGUUAAUUUAAAUUGUUUUUAUUAAUUAAAAUAAUAUUAUUUAAUUUAUUUUUUAAAAUUAAAUUAAGUUUGAAACUAAUUCAAUCAUGUGAUAAUUUGAUCCAUCAUAUAGUUUAACUAAGUUAAUUAUCAUCUACUUUUUUAAAAAAUUAACUUGAUUCAGGUUUAAUAAUAAUUAUCAAAACUUGAGAACUGUUUUUUCCUUAAGUUUUACUUAUUUAUUUAUCUUUUUAGUGAUAUAUAAAUCGUUAAAAAAUAAUAUAAAUUAUAUCCUGGAAUUUUGCCUAACCGAUUAAGCUAUUAAGUUAAGAUGGUUUUUUGAUAUAGUAUCAGAGCGUUGAUGAUCAAGCGGUCACGAGUUCGAAUCUCACCAUCCCUAUUUAUUUAAUAAAAAUCAAACACAAGAUAAUAUGAGUUUGUGCAAGUUUCAAGUCCAAAUGACUUUUAUUUGAGGAGGUGUCAAUUUAAACUAUUAAAUUGAAAUAAUUUUUUUGAAACGGAAGGAUUCACAAUUAUUGUGUUCAUGAUGUGAUCCUAUACUUUUUCCUGUUUUUGAGUAGAUGACUAGAUAAAAUUUAUUUAAAAAAAAAAAUCAAAACGACAUUGUUUUAGUAAAAAAGAAAACAAAAAAAAUAAAAGCCAAUAAGUUUGUGGCCGGGUCUUUACCAGAUCUUUCCAGGUCAGCCGGAUCACACCAAAUUUUUCCUUUCUUUAUUUUUUUUUCAACCCGGUCCGGUUUCGUUCCCGGAUCGACCUACCAGGUCAUCAGGUUUCAAAACUAUGUCGAAGGUUACCACCUUUGGUUUUUUAUCUCUAUUUUUUAAAUGACCAAGUUGUAUUCCAAUAAUUAAAGGGGAAAUAGAGACCACUUGUCUUAUAAAAAAUACCGUUGGCUUUUGCUGGUUUCCUCACUCAAAACCACCACGAAGAAGCCUUGAGCCUCUGGUUUUUCUCCUACAAUUUUGGUACACACUCACCUAUAUAACCAAACCCCUUUACUCCCAUUUACUUCAUCAAAUCAUAACUCCUGAUAUCUUAAUCUCUCCAAAUCCCACUUCAAAGAGUUUCCAGCUCGUUGGUUCUAUAUUACAGUAACACAGAAAAUGAGUUCAGCAAGCAAAGCUUGGUUGGUUGCAGCAGCUGUUGGAGGAGUCGAGGCCUUGAAAGACCAAGGGUUCUGUAGGUGGAACUAUACCUUGAGAUCGCUACACCAACAUGCCAAGAACCAUGUCAGAUCAGCCUCUCAGGCCAAGAAGCUUUCUUCUUCAUCUUCUGCUAUGAUCUCGAAUAAAAUCAAGGAAGUGAAAGCAAAACAGUCUGAGGAAUCUCUAAGAAAAGUCAUGUAUUCGAGCUGUUGGGGUCCUUACUAAGCAAAGAAGCUAGAACAGAUUGAGGAAGUUAUCGUGAUAGGAUUAUCCUGAUUGUUGCAAGUUGAUGUAAAUUGAUUCGUAAAUAUUGUUGCUGAC